CAGUAGCCACGGGAAAACGGAGGGAGCUAGCGUUGUUCGGAAUUACUGGGCGUAAAGCGCACGUAGGCGGCUAUUCAAGUCAGGGGUGAAAGCCCGGGGCUCAACCCCGGAACUGCCUUUGAAACUAGAUAGCUUGAAUCUUGGAGAGGCGAGUGGAAUUCCGAGUGUAGAGGUGAAAUUCGUAGAUAUUCGGAAGAACACCAGUGGCGAAGGCGACUCGCUGGACAAGUAUUGACGCUGAGGUGCGAAGCGUGGGGAGCAAACAGGAUUAGAUACCCGCGUAGUCCCUGUCUCUUAUACA
rnacentral:rRNA from 1 species